rnacentral:rRNA from 1 species
GANACGCUGGCGGCGUGCCUAACACAUGCAAGUCGAGCGGAGACAUGGGAGGAGCUUGCUCCAAGAUUGUUUUAGCGGCGGACGGGUGAGUAACGCGUGAGCAACCUUUCCUCUACUGGGGAAUAACACAUCGAAAGGUGUACUAAUACCGCAUGAGACCACGGUACCGCAUGGUAUAGGGGUCAAAGAUUUAUUGGUAGAGGGUGGGCUCGCGUCUGAUUAGGUAGUUGGUAGGGUAACGGCCUACCAAGCCGACGAUCAGUAGCCGGACUGAGAGGUUGAACGGCCACAUUGGAACUGAGAUACGGUCCAGACUCCUACGGGAGGCAGCAGUGGGGAAUAUUGGGCAAUGGGCGAAAGCCUGACCCAGCGACGCCGCGUGAGGGAAGAAGGUCUUCGGAUUGUAAACCUUUGUUGACAGGGACGAAGAAAGUGACGGUACCUGUCGAGGAAGCCACGGCUAACUACGUG